UACAUGAUUCCUUUUAUGCUUUUUCACUAAUUUUGCAGAAACCUCAGUGUUUUUUCAGUGGGAUCAGUGGCUUCUAUUUAAAAAUUUGUUGAUUGUGAUGUUAUUUGGUUGUAAUUUUGAACAAUCUAUUCAGGUCAAGUCACCAGGGUUUGGUCUCAUUCCAUCAGAUUUGAGUUGAAUGGUGUGAUGAAGUUGGACAAAUUCUGUUACAGUUGGGUCGUCGGGUCGUUGGGGCGCAACAUGGCGUUAUUGUAUUUGCGUCAGGAUGUAGAGCUACGUUCAGUGUUUGCACCGAAUAAUUUCUCCAUAACAACACAUCCGAUUGAAGCGUCAGGCCAGUGUCAGUUUAUUUAUUUAUUUAUCUUUACUCUUUUCUUGAUUAUUUUUUAUUUAUUUUUUUAAAGCUUUUCUUAAUUAACAACUAGGGUUAGAAUUUUCUAUUAUGUGGCUUCGUUUGGGAUGGCUUUCUUUCUGCUCAUUAAAGUAGCUUUUUAGUACAAAAUUAAAAAAUUUUGAACUAGAAAGUUGCUUUAAUAAUCAGAAAGAAAGCCGUCCCAAACGAAACCUGUGUCGAUACUUUUUUUUUUCGUUCUUCUUUUGUGUUCUCCUCGUCUCUUCUUGAUUUCUCCUCGAGCUUUAGAGGAGCAUCUUGCCCCAAGGUCUUUUGACCUAAUCCAUGGAUCAACCUAAGCUAUCUCAUCUCAAUGAAUCUCACUCCCGUCUUCUUCUCUCUCAUUCGACUCCAAACUGUGAUGAAUUGGAAACAUUUGCUUUUCACAUUCCUCGGUUCGAAAACUUAUCUGAACUAUAUCCCAUGCGCUGAAGAUGAGAUCUUCUCCAGGUGAGGAGGUUGAAGAAGGAGAUUAGGUUUGGUGAUGCGCUUUGAUGAAAUGGAAAUGGUUUAUUGACAUUUGACCUUUUAUUUUUAAGAGAGACAUCUGAGUUUGUUUUCUAUCAAGGAGGAUUACGAAGACAUUUUCAUUUGGGUAAAAAAUCUCUAAUCUCCCCCUCUGUUAUUGAUUAAUAAAGAAUAUUUCUAAAAUUGCUAGUAAAAUUGAAACCCCUUACACCUGUUGACCCCUCAUUGUAAAUAUAUUGAGGUUGGCUUUACUGUUCAUAUCUUCACCGCAUAUAUCCUUUCCGAUGAGAUCACCAUCACUAUAAAUGAAAAAGAUAUCUGAUGUCUUCUCAUCUAUUAA